rnacentral:lncRNA from 1 species
GUCAACCCACCGGAAAGAAACCAACAUUGAAAUAUUCUGUUCAACAUUAAGAGCAUGAACUGUAAACUGUAACGAUGUAACGUGGUAAUUUAACAGCAUGUUAAAAAGAAACAUUAUAAACAUGAUAAUUUCUCAUGUCUCAUUGGCAAAACCAAAAGCCUUCGCUUCUCAUAUAUUUUUCUACUAAGCUCUUAGAAUACAUCAAAAUCCUUUAACCGCACCAAGUAUAACAGAUUAAAAGAAAACUUCAAUUGAUACUUCUAUCUUAAUUCCGAACUCUUUAAUAAUUUAGCUUCACGCUCCUGACAAAGUCUUUACCUCUGGAAGAAAACCACACAGACAUAAAAUGUAAGGAUAGGAAUACAUAGAGACGAAAUAACAGAUGCAAUCCAAUAUUAUCACAAGUGGUUUUAGAUGGUUAUAAAUUAUGGAUCACAUUGUUGUAUUAAAAGACUGAUUGCAUCUCAUUCACCAGACUAAGUAACAGUACCUAUCUAAUCCAAUCAAAUAAUGCUCACGAGAAAGGUGAUGGCUUUGUGAUUGAGAAUGUGCACAAUACUCAUCUGGUGGCUGGUAAUAUAAAUGUUUCUGCUGGCCAUGCUAAUGAGGUUGAUGAUGAUGAUGAGGAUUAUGAUGAUGAUGAUUAUUCUAGCGUUGAGGAAAU